rnacentral:rRNA from 1 species
AUGAUGUGCGGUUUCAGUACUACUAGCUGUGAGGAGGAGGAGGUUAGCCUUGAUGGCCAGGUGGUACCUCGGAAGGACACCUUUCGGUAUUUGGGGUCAAUGUUGCAGGAGGAUGGGGGUAUUGAUGAAGAUGUGAACCAUCGAAUCAAAGCCGGAUGGAUGAAGUGGCGCCAAGCUUCUGGCAUUCUCUGUGACAAGAGAGUGCCACAAAAGCUAAAAGGCAAGUUCUACAGGACGGCGGUUCGACCCGCAAUGUUGUAUGGCGCGGAGUGUUGGCCGACUAAAAGGCGACAUGUUCAACAGUUAGGUGUGGCGGAGAUGCGUAUGUUGAGAUGGAUGUGUGGCCACACGAGAAAGGAUCGAGUGCGGAAUGAUGAUAUACGAGAUAGAGUUGGGGUAGCACCAAUUGAGGAGAAGCUUGUCCAACAUCGUUUGAGAUGGUUUGGGCAUAUUCAGCGCAGGCCUCCAGAAGCUCCAGUGCAUAGCGGACGGCUAAAGCGUGCGGAGAAUGUCAAGAGAGGGCGGGGUCGACCGAUUUUGACAUGGGAGGAGUCCGUUAAGAGAGACCUGAAGGAUUGGAGUAUCGACAAAGAGCUAGCUAUGGACAGGGGUGCGUGGAAGCUUGCUAUCCAUGUGCCAGAGCCAUGA